rnacentral:rRNA from 1 species
GACGAACGCUGGCGGCGUGCUUAACACAUGCAAGUCGAACGGAAAGGCCCUGCUUUUGUGGGGUGCUCGAGUGGCGAACGGGUGAGUAACACGUGAGUAACCUGCCCUUGACUUUGGGAUAACUUCAGGAAACUGGGGCUAAUACCGGAUAGGAGCUCCUGCUGCAUGGUGGGGGUUGGAAAGUCUCGGCGGUUGGGGAUGGACUCGCGGCUUAUCAGCUUGUUGGUGGGGUAGUGGCUUACCAAGGCUUUGACGGGUAGCCGGCCUGAGAGGGUGACCGGCCACAUUGGCACUGAGAUGCGGCCCAGACGCCUCCGGGCGGCAGCGGCGGGGAAUAUUGCGCAAUGGGCGGCAGCCUGAUGCAGCACCGCCGCGUGCGGGAUGACGGCCUUCGGGUUGUAACCCGCUUUCGCCUGUGACGAAGCGUGAGUGACGGUACUGGGUAAAGAAGCACCGCCUAACUACGU